CCGCAAGGUUGAAACUCAAAGGAAUUGACGGGGGCCCGCACAAGCGGUGGAGUAUGUGGUUUAAUUCGAAGCAACGCGAAGAACCUUACCAGGGCUUGACAUCCCACUAACGAAGCAGAGAUGCAUUAGGUGCCCUUCGGGGAAAGUGGAGACAGGUGGUGCAUGGUUGUCGUCAGCUCGUGUCGUGAGAUGUUGGGUUAAGUCCCGCAACGAGCGCAACCCUUGUCGCAUGUUACCAGCAUCAAGUUGGGGACUCAUGCGAGACUGCCGGUGACAAACCGGAGGAAGGUGGGGAUGACGUCAAAUCAUCAUGCCCCUUAUGGCCUGGGCUACACACGUACUACAAUGGCGGCCACAAAGAGCAGCGACACAGUGAUGUGAAGCGAAUCUCAUAAAGGUCGUCUCAGUUCGGAUUGAAGUCUGCAACUCGACUUCAUGAAGUCGGAAUCGCUAGUAAUCGCAGAUCAGAAUGCUGCGGUGAAUACGUUCUCGGGCCUUGUACACACCGCCCGUCAAACCAUGGGAGUCAGUAAUACCCGAAGCCGGUGGCAUAACCGUAAGGAGUGAGCCGUCGAAGGUAGGACCGAUGACUGGGGUUAAGUCGUAACAAGGUAUCCCUACGGGAACGUGGGGAUG
rnacentral:rRNA from 1 species